AGACCCAAGGGCAGUCACAGAAGGUGAAAGGGAAGAAAAGGUCAGAUAGGGAAAAGGAACGGCUCUGUGACUGGACUUCCCUGAAUUCUGCACCUGACUGGACUCUCCUUACGGGAACCUGUCAAGUCUUUGGAGUGGAAUUAACCCCUCCUUCACAGUUGCCCAUGACAUACACUCAAAAAUACGUCCAAGAAGCUGGAGAUACAAAUGCGAGGCGAUUAAAGUAAGAGGCAGUUUAUCCUUGGGAAAGCCGAGAAAAUGGAAAAACAACAAAAAGAGGAAGGCAGCCACAAGGAAAGAGUUCAGGCAGUGACCAGCUGGGAUUUUGGUGCGGGUUGUUACUGGGACAAAAACACCAAAGGAAUCCAGACCUGGGCACUUUCCUUCAGAUGUACGAACAUUUCCUGAAAGGAAACCUUUAAAGACUUUGAGCAUCAAACUGUCACGGCAGAGGGCAGCGGGGAGAAACAGUGUUCUCAAACCUGUCUCAAGUGUCCUUAUGGUGCUGAAUUGGCCAGACAUUUUUGGAAGUAUGUGAUUCUGCUUUUGGAAGCUUGUGAUCGCCCUCCCCCCAUCAUCACCUAUUUGAAUCAGUCCAGUUCAAUUUGACAAGCGCUUAUGGACCACUUCAUGGAAAAAUGGGAAGAAACUGGACUUGGUCUCAGAAUUCCUGGAUUCGGUGCUGGCUCUGCUAUUUACUUCCUAAUUUGACUUUCACUAAAUAAAUUUGCCUGUUUGGGUCAUGGUUUCAUAAUGUGCAAAAUGAAAGUCUAGACAGGUUGUGACACCCUUUCAGAUGUAAAGACGUGACUGUGAGCAUCACACUUUCCUGGGACUGUAGAGGAAUGCAGAACAGCUGUCUGGUUUGAGACUCUCUCACUUAGAUGGCAACGUGACGCGGCUGGCCCUGGCCAUCGACUUGUUUGCUCCCAGACUUAUUCUUUGCUCCUUCUCUGCCUGUUCUGAAUCAUAUUUCCUGAGCCCCUUGCUUCUGGUUUUCUGGAGGUUUAGCUGAUGAGAGGAAUUGAUAGGAGACUGGAAAUUAGGAGGAGGAGAAAAGCCAAAGUAAUUUCCUGUCUCUGUCUCUCUGCUUGAGUAGCGUCCAAGGCAACCAUGUUAAUUCCUGUUAGACAACUUCUCCUCCACUGUCCCAAGUGGCACAGCACAGGCAAGGUGAUCAUGUGGGAUCCACCAGGAAGUUCCUGGGGUCCAGUAGUGCCACCUACACCCUUGGAUCCUGCAGCUCAAAGGAACCGUGGAAUUCUUGGUCAAACUUCAAGCGGAUACCUGAAGAAAGAGUGGAAGCGACACUAGAGCCUCAUGAAGAUAAUGCAACCCUUGGAAGAGCUCCAAAUGACACUGGAAGAGGACGGGGUGGGG